GGGGAUGUUUUGGUUUCGACGGGGGUAUUGGAGGGGUUCUAAGCGAGCCGUGGCCCUGAACCACGUAAAAACGGGAACUAAAAUUUAAUUGACAAUAAUAAUCAAUUAGCAUUCGCGGCAUAAUGCCGCCAUCACACCGUAAAGCCUUUAAACCGGAAAUGUGAUGUAAAGCCACAAAGGCAACGUAACUAUCAAAGCUUUGAGAUAACUUACGUAACAUGAAGCUACCAAAAUCAUUAGUAUGUUAAUUUACGAAUGAUGGAGGGAAUAAUAAAUAAUUAACUACGCUCGUAGAAAGGGGCUUUGACAGACUUUCGGACAGGGGUUCAAUUCCCCUCAUCUCCACCA
rnacentral:tmRNA from 1 species